GAUCCUGGCUCAGGAUGAACGCUGGCGGCAUGCCUAAUACAUGCAAGUCGAACGAGAGGAAGGAAAGCUUGCUUUUCUGAAUCUAGUGGCGAACGGGUGAGUAACACGUAGGUAACCUGCCCAUGUGCCCGGGAUAACUUCUGGAAACGGAUGCUAAAACCGGNUAGGUAGCAGACAAGCAUUUGACUGCUAUUAAAGUGGCUAAGGCCAUGAACAUGGAUGGACCUGCGUGCA
rnacentral:rRNA from 1 species